rnacentral:rRNA from 1 species
AACGAACGCUGGCGGCGUGGAUAAGACAUGCAAGUCGAACGAGGAACUGAAGAGCUUGCUUUGAAGUUCCUAGUGGCGGACGGGUUAGUAACGCGUGAGCAACUUGCCUUAAAGUGGGGGAUAGUCCUGGGAAACUGGGUUUAAUACCGCAUGUGCCCUGAGGGGUAAAGCAGCUUUUGCUGUGCUUUAAGAUAGGCUCGCGUCCCAUCAGCUAGUUGGUGAGGUAAUGGCUCACCAAGGCGACGACGGGUAGCUGGUCUGAGAGGAUGAUCAGCAACACUGGAACUGAGACACGGUCCAGACACCUACGGGUGGCAGCAGUCGAGAAUCAUUCACAAUGGGGGAAACCCUGAUGGUGCAACGCCGCGUGGAGGAUGAAGGCCCUAGGGUUGUAAACUCCUGUCAUCAGAGAGUAAGGCAUGGGUGAGGAAAUGCAUCCAUGUUUGAUAGUAUCUGAAGAGGAAGGGACGGCUAACUUCGUGCCAGCAGCCGCGGUAAUACGAAGGUCCCAAGCGUUGUUCGGAAUCACUGGGCGUAAAGGGAGCGUAGGCGGUUAGGUAAGUCAGAUGUGAAAUCCCGGGGCUCAACCCCGGAACUGCAUCCGAUACUGCCUGACUAGAGUAUUGGAGAGGAAAGUGGAAUUCUCGGUGUAGCAGUGAAAUGCGUAGAUAUCGAGAGGAACACCAAUGGCGAAGGCAACUUUCUGGACAAUAACUGACGCUGAGGCUCGAAGGCUAGGGUAGCGAAAGGGAUUAGAUACCCCCUGUAGUCCUAGCAGUAAACGUUGCGCGCUUGGUGUGGGUGGGUUCGACCCCAUCCGUGCCGGAGCUAACGCGUUAAGCGCGCCGCCUGGGGAGUACGGUCGCAAGACUAAAACUCAAAGAAAUUGACGGGGACCCGCACAAGCGGUGGAGUAUGUGGCUUAAUUCGAUGCAACGCGAAGAACCUUACCUAGGCUUGACAUGUAUCGCUAAUCUGCUGAAAGGCAGUGAGCUUUCGAGCACCUUACACAGGUGCUGCAUGGCCGUCGUCAGCUCGUGUCGUGAGAUGUUCGGUUAAGUCCGGCAACGAGCGCAACCCCUGUGGUUAGUUACCAGCACGUAAUGGUGGGAACUCUAGCCAGACUGCCCAGAUCAACUGGGAGGAAGGUGGGGAUGACGUCAGGUCAGUAUGGCCCUUACGCCUAGGGCUGCACACGUACUACAAUGCUCAGUACAAUGAGAACCGAUCCCGCGAGGAGGAGGAAAUCUAUAAAACUGGGCUCAGUUCGGAUUGUAGGCUGCAACUCGCCUACAUGAAGCUGGAAUCGCUAGUAAUGGCACAUCAGCUACGGUGCCGUGAAUACGUUCCCGGGUCUUGUACACACCGCCCGUCACAUCAUGGAAGCCGAUCGCACCCGAAGUAUCUGCGUCAACAUAGACAGGGUCCUAAGGUGUAGUUGGUAACUGGGAUG